rnacentral:rRNA from 1 species
GACGAACGCUGGCGGCGUGCUUAACACAUGCAAGUCGAACGGAAAGGCCCUGCUUUUGUGGGGUGCUCGAGUGGCGAACGGGUGAGUAACACGUGAGUAACCUGCCCUUGACUUUGGGAUAACUUCAGGAAACUGGGGCUAAUACCGGAUAGGAGCUCCUGCUGCAUGGUGGGGGUUGGAAAGUUUCGGCGGUUGGGGAUGGACUCGCGGCUUAUCAGCUUGUUGGUGGGGUAGUGGCUUACCAAGGCUUUGACGGGUAGCCGGCCUGAGAGGGUGACCGGCCACAUGGGGACUGAGGUACGGCCCAGACUCCUACGGUAGGCAGCAGUGGGGAAUAUUGCACAAUGGGCGGAAGCCUGAUGCAGCAACGCCGCGUGCGGGAUGACGGCCUUCGGGUUGUAAACCGCUUUCGCCUGUGACGAAGCGUGAGUGACGGUAAUGGGUAAAGAAGCACCGGCUAACUACGUG